rnacentral:rRNA from 1 species
UACAGAGGUCUCAAGCGUUGUUCGGAUUCAUUGGGCGUAAAGGGUGCGUAGGCGGGUCUUUAAGUCAGAGGUGAAAUCCUGGAGCUCAACUCCAGAACUGCCUUUGAUACUGAGGAUCUUGAGUACGGGAGAGGUGAGUGGAACUGCGAGUGUAGAGGUGAAAUUCGUAGAUAUUCGCAAGAACACCAGUGGCGAAGGCGGCUCACUGGCCCGUUACUGACGCUGAGACGCGAAAGCGUGGGGAGCGAACAGG